CAGUCGCCGCGGUAAUACGUAGGUGGCAAGCGUUGUCCGGAAUUAUUGGGCGUAAAGGGCUCGCAGGCGGUUUCUUAAGUCUGAUGUGAAAGCCCCCGGCUCAACCGGGGAGGGUCAUUGGAAACUGGGAAACUUGAGUGCAGAAGAGGAGAGUGGAAUUCCACGUGUAGCGGUGAAAUGCGUAGAGAUGUGGAGGAACACCAGUGGCGAAGGCGACUCUCUGGUCUGUAACUGACGCUGAGGAGCGAAAGCGUGGGGAGCGAACAGGAUUAGAUACCCCAGUAGUCCCUGUCUCUAUACA
rnacentral:rRNA from 1 species